rnacentral:rRNA from 1 species
UAUGUGAUCGUCUCUCGCAUAUCAAUAAGCGGAGGAAAAGAAACUAACAAGGAUUCCCCUAGUAACGGCGAGUGAAGCGGGAAGAGCUCAAAUUUGAAAUCUUAAAGGGUUUCCCUUUACGAAUUGUAGUUUAAAGAAGUGUUUUCUGUUGAGGUUUUGGUAAAAGUUCUUUGGAAUAGGACAUCAUAGAGGGUGAGAAUCCCGUAUUUGACCUUUACUUUCAACUUUGUGAUACACUUUCAAAGAGUCGGAUUGUUUGGGAAUGCAGUCCAAAAUGGGUGGUAAAUUUCAUCUAAAGCUAAAUAUUGGCGAGAGACCGAUAGCGAACAAGUACCGUGAGGGAAAGAUGAAAAGAACUUUGAAAAGAGAGUUAAACAGUACGUGAAAUUGUCAAAAGGGAAGCGUUUGACACCAGUGUUGUUUUUCUGAAAAUCAAUUAAAGAACUGUUUAUGCUAAGUUGUUUAGACUUUAUCAGCUAACUGUUUAGUUUUGAGCUUUUCUUUAAUGCACUUUUCAGUUAACAAGUCAACAUCAAUUUCUUUUGCUGUAAAAAAGCUUGAGGAAGGUGGCUUGAGAUUCGUCUUAAGUGUUUAUAGCCUCUUGCCUAUGCAGUCGGAGAGAUUGAGGUCUGCAGCGUAGAUCCUUCGGGGCUAAAUGCAUUUGUGCUAAGUUAUAGCAUUUUAUAGACAACUUGUUGACCAUGAUUUGUCUUGUAGCUUACUCGCUUAUGUUAUUUUACCUACGCUUAGGAUGUUGAUCUACAGAGCGAGAGU